rnacentral:rRNA from 1 species
GCAAAUUGCUUCACUGUGAGAUGGACCUGCGUUGUAUUAGCUAGUUGGUGAGGUAAAGGCUCACCAAGGCGACGAUACAUAGCCCGACCCUGAGAGGGUGAUCGGCCACACUGGGACUGAGACACGGCCCAGACUCCUACGGGAGGCAGCAGUAGGGAAUCUUCGGCAAUGGACGGAAGUCUGACCGAGCAACGCCGCGUGAGUGAAGAAGGUUUUCGGAUCGUAAAGCUCUGUUGUUAGAGAAGAACGUUGGUAGGAGUGGGAAAAUCUACCAAGUGACGGUAACUAACCAGAAAGGGACGGCUAACUACGUGCCAGCAGCCGCGGUAAU